rnacentral:rRNA from 1 species
CUGGCGGCGUGCCUAAUACAUGCAAGUCGAACGGUCUUUCUAUGGAAGCUUGCUUCCACUGAGAAGAUAGUGGCGAACGGGUGAGUAACACGUGGGUAACCUGCCCAUAAGAGGGGGAUAACAUCCGGAAACGGGUGCUAAUACCGCAUAGUUUUCUUGAUCGCAUGAUUGAGAAAGGAAAGACGGCCUUUGUGCUGUCGCUUAUGGAUGGACCCGCGGCGUAUUAGUUAGUUGGUGAGGUAACGGCUCACCAAGACGAUGAUACGUAGCCGACCUGAGAGGGUGAUCGGCCACAUUGGGACUGAGACACGGCCCAAACUCCUACGGGAGGCAGCAGUAGGGAAUCUUCCGCAAUGGACGAAAGUCUGACGGAGCAACGCCGCGUGAGUGAAGAAAGGUUUUCGGAUCGUAAAACUCUGUUGUCAGAGAAGAACAAGUUGGAGAGUAACUGCUCCAGCCUUGACGGUAUCUGACCAGAAAGCCACGGCUAACUACGUGCCAGCCGCCGC